rnacentral:tRNA from 1 species
GCACUGGUGGUUCAGUGGUGGAGCUCUCCGCUUCUGUGCAGGAGACCUGGGUUCAAUUCCUGACCAGUGCA